rnacentral:rRNA from 1 species
CAGUCGCCACGGUAAUACAGAGGAUGCAAGUGUUAUCUGGAAUGAUUGGGCGUAAAGCAUCUAUAGGUAUCUUUCCAAGUCCACCGUCAAAUCCCCGGGCUCAACCCUGGACAAGCAGUGGAAACUACCAAGCUGGAGUACGGUAGGGGCAGAGGGAAUUUCCAGUGGAGCGGUGAAAUGCGUUGAGAUCGGAAAGAACAUCAACGGCGAAAGCACUCUGCUGGGCCAACACUGACACUGAGAGACGAAAGCUAGGGGAGCCAAUGGGAUUAGAUACCCCCGUAGUCCCUGUCUCUUAUAC